CAAGCCCUGUAGCUUGUUUCUAUCGGCGUCGGUAAUAGAGGGAACGGAAUCAUCUCCCAAUUCACGAGGACCAAGGACGAGUGUCUAUAGAAACGGGUCGGGUACGGGUCACAAAUGUCGUAUGUGUCAGCGUUCGGAUUGUAUUUGGUUUAAAUAGUAGCCAACCAAGUUCCAAACUUUGUUUGUGCGUUUGUUUGUUUGCACUUUGCAGUAACAAAACUAAUGCUUUAAUUGAUAAACUUUGUUUUGUAGAUUCAAGCCAAAGGGAGAAAGGCAUAUGGAUCUUACCUAUGUUUCACACAAUCCUUUUUAUAUUUUGGGAUUAUAAGAUAUACAAAUGCUUUGAUAUGAUAUACAUGCAUGACAUGUUUUGAUGGAUGAUCCAAAUACCUCAACUUCUACA
rnacentral:lncRNA from 1 species